CACCCACUUCGGCUUCCCAAAGUACUAGGAUUACAGGUGUGAGCCACCAUACUCAACCGAUGAUAGCAUUCUUUUCGAUCAUUUUCUUUUCUGCUGUUCAGACACUGCUAAUGGCUUGUAGUUUCCUGUGAUACUAAUGAGAUGAGCUAGUUUAUUUGUGUUUUGUUCUCUUUUUUCUGUCUCCUCCCCGUGCCCAUUCGGAGCAGAUAGCUGUACUCUUCACAUGUCCUUGCUUCAAGAAACUGGUUGAAGACCACCCUUCCUCCAGCCUUGCAGUUGCAAACACACUGACAGCUCCCGAAUGAUCUGAUACAGGAUCCUUAAUAGGCACGGAAGUGUUCGCCAGACAGAGAGGUCCUGCCCUUGCCGAUCUGAGCUGGUUCUGUGUUAGAGACUCUGUGGGCGUCUGUUUGACAGGAUCUGCCAGGAGUGGCAGAAUAACGUUCCUGAUCUGGAAGAGCAAAUCUCAGAUAUUUUGCACAUUUGCAGAACCUACCCCUAGGAGUGGGAGGAGACCACAACCAAAGAAGCAAAUGGAGACACAGAAUAUCAGAUGAACAGCAGCUACACAGGCAAACAAAGCAGUGCAGCAGGAUUGGAGGUGCUUGUGGUGAGAGGAGGCAGGGAGUUGCUUUUUACAUGGGGAGAUCAGGGAAGGCCUCAGUGGGUAGGUGAUAUUUGAAGAGAGAGAGACCUGGGAGAGGAAACAGAUGAGCCCUGUUGAUAUAUAAGGGUAGAAUGACUCUGGCAGACGGUUGGUGCAAAGGUCUUGUGGCAGAAAACACCUUUUUUGACUUCCAUUGUGAAUAUCUUGGGACACUCAAUGGUGUCCCACAGAUCUCUGAAACUUUGUUUGUUUAUUUAUUUAUUUAGAGACAGGGUCUUGCUCUGUUGCCCA